GAAAUCACAGCUGUCAAUCAACAUGCACACUGCAGAUAUCAAAACUACUAUACGUCUUCUUGAGAAAAAUUAUCAACUUAGUAUUUCAAGAGAGAAGUUUUGAAUGGGAAUCAGUUGGAGCUAGCAUCUAGUGGCCGUUGGUGGCGUUGCACUUCAAGGUACAUCCAUACUGGCUUCAGCCUCAAGCCGUUGUGUCACUCGACUCGAAUUCAUGUCAUUGACCAGUAACAUAGUCUUGACAGUGUUGACCUUUGAGGGAAUAGAGAGCUGGAAAGUCCAAAAUAAAGGAAGCUAACAUAUUAGCUGUGUCGCACCAUCCACUUUUACAAAACCCAGCUCUGUUGGAGUAUAAACUGCUCCGCAUGGUUGGGACUCUUGUUACGAAACAAGAGUCAAUGGUACAAUUACACUUAUUGAAUGAAUUGUGUGAACUUAUUGUUAGCAAUCAUGUUACUUAGCAAGCCUGCUAGCUUGUAGAGCUAUUGUGACUGACUACACUAAACUACACUAAUAAACUUUGCUGUGCCAUUUCCUGGUGUGACCAGACCUUAUAAUUGUAUUAUAUUGCUGGUGUGAAGUGAGAAUCUAGCAAAUAAGAAUAAUAGUAUUAUUUUAGCUUGAUGACAUUUUAGUUAAUUCACUGGUUUCAAUAUGUUUAAUCAAUUGAAGUGGUUGUAUAAUUUUCUAAUUAUAAUUUUUGAGCCUUUGAAGCAUUUGGUUCUCAAGUGAAAACAUGAAAAAUUCAGCAAAACUGUAAUCACAAACUGUGUUAAUCAGGGUCGAUUCUAGGAUCAGACCUUUAGGGGGGCUCAGCCUCUAAUGAGAAUGUGACAUGCAUACAACGCCUUGCAAAGUGUUCAACUCCGUAAUUUCACUGGAUAACUAUUAAUACAUUCUUUUCUUCUAUAUAUGAUAUUUUAAUUUACAACAAUACUUUUACUGAAUUACUAGUAAGUAACAUAAUAAAAUAUCUUUUAAGAAAAUGAAAAAUAGAAUAAACUGUUUGCAAAAGCAUUCAAUCCCUUUAACUUUGGCAAACUUCAGUUCAAUUAGGUAUACAGUUUGGAAGCAACCUAACUAGUUGGGUUGUCUAUUGAAGUGUAUAUUAAUAAUGGUUCAGAAUGAACGAUCACAGAUUUCAAUUUAAUCCCCUUGUUUUAGAGACGACCCUCAAUCACUUAAUGAAACCUGAGGCAAAGACUCAGUCAUAACCAGAACUUUCCAAAGUAAGUAAAAGAUCAAGUUAUAUGAAAUCCUAUCAAGUUAAUGCCAGACAUUCACUGGCUACAGCUUCUCAAAAAGGGAGGAUUUACUACUUUUCUUUAUUAAUUUAAUCAUUUAAACUCAUAUAUAUCUGGGUUUUGGACUGUUGGCUAGACAAAACAAACUGCUUGAAUACAUCACCUUGGUCUCUGGAAAAAUUGUGAUUCAUUGCUUUCUGACGCUAAGUGAUUAGACUGACACCAACUAUAACAUCACCUUAUUGUUAUGGUUGAACCCUUAAUUUAUUGCACUCUCCUGAAAAUUAAAAAGGCAGAAACAAGAUAAACGAUAGUGCACUUCACACACCCACACACCUGAAGUACACAAGAGAGGCUUCACACAACAAACGCAGCAGAUGCCUCCAUGCUGCAGAACCCUCCAAGAGCUGCUGCUGCGUUUUCCCCGGUAAAUGAACACUCGCUUCUCCUUCACCAACACACACACACAUUUACAGAGUCCAAAUAGAUAAGCGAGCCAUGCCGAGUGUGUGAGUCUAUUUUUCCCUAACGUGAACUCUCUCUCUCUCUCUCUCUCUCUCUCUCUCUCUCUCUCUCUCUCUCUCUCUCUCUCACACACACACACACGUUUCACAGGACAGUCAAUUUUCUUACAUAGUGACACAGAUUGUAAUCAUCCACAGACAUGACACACAUUCUAAUAGAAAUCUGGCUGAACACAAUGCAGUGCUUACGGCAAAUGGCCUCAAGAUCUGUGUGUGUGUGUGUGUCUCUCUCUCUCUCUGCCUCAAUGUGUGAUCCUCUAUCUCAUUCGGUAGCUGCUCAGGGAAAAUGUGACUUGAAUUCUGAUGUGUUUAAUUGAAACCUGUUUUAUCCCCCAUUUACCGCACUCAUCUACCGAGGAUUAUAGAUGGAGACAGGAGGAGGAGGAGGAGGAGGAAGGGUGAGGUAUAGAGAGGGAGAUAAGAAGAUUGGAGGCCUGGGAGGAGGCAGACAGGAAGUCAAAGAAGAACUGAAGAGGAGGAAAGAAAAUAUGAAAAGAUGUUUAUCAUUCAUACUGUAUUAGUAGUCUGGUUUGUAGAAAUCCACAGUCAUGUUUCUAUUAUUUGUCACCGGUGCCAAACUACCUCGCUGUGAUUUUUCUGCAUUGCAUUUCUUAGACAUCACAUGUCAAUCAAACGGUGGGCGGUGCUUGUUACAUCAUGUUUCUAGUCGGUUUCUGCAGGUGGAGCUCUUCUCUGAGUCACCAUAACCAUCCAGCUCUUCUUCUGUGUAUUUGUUGCAGAGGAUUUGAGUUCUCUAAAUGUAUUUGAGUGAUUUAUAAUGGUCCCUUCACCAACUAAAUACACAAUAUUCAUUUUUACAUUUAAUAUAUUUUCCCCAAAUGUUGUGUUCACAUGCUUUAAUACAUAAAGGUGUACAGUAUUUAUAUUCUCUUUCCAUAUUGUACCUUUUCUCAGCAGUUAUUGAUUGUGUGGUGCCCACUGGGUGGAAAACAGUUUACCUCUUAUCCUGGACUUUAUAUUCGAGAUAACAGUGAUAAAACAUGAUUUAUUCCAACGGAGCAAGGUGACCUCCAUUGAAAGCUUCUACCAUUUGAUACCCUUCGAUGCGUUCAUAUUUUUGGAAUUGUCAUGCAGGAUCGUAAUGUGUAGUAUAUAGUCCUGGAUCAGGGCUACAAACAAUCCAAAGGUUAUGCUAGACAGCUUGCACAGCAGGUUUUAGGUUGGUGACAAACACCAACCUGUGGCAGAUGAUUUCUCGCUGCAAGACGUGAUGAACUUUUUGGAGUUUAAAGGGGACGUAUCAUGCACAUUUCCAGGUCUAUGUUUAUAUUCUAGGGCUUAACUGGAAUAUCUUUGCAUAAUUUACAGUUCAAAAAACUUAUUUAUCCUUUUGUGGCCCUUUGUGCAACCCCUCAGUUCAGCUUCUGUCUGAAACAGGCCGUUCAAGGUCCUGUCUCUUUAAGACCCCCCUCCUGAUAAGCCCACUCUGUUCUGAUUGGCCCACUCCAGAAGGCUGCCCCAUAACAGACUUCCAGCGGCUUGGGAGGCUACAUAACCAAACAAUAGUAAUAGUAAUAGGACUUUUUUUGCUUGUUCUUUACUCAAAAUAUAAACUUCUCAAAUACAUCUGAAAAUGUUUGAGCCUGACAACCUUAGCAACAACCUUAGUGACAAAGGCUACCAGUGGACGGUCAUUUGUGGGCAUGCACGAACAAUUUGACAUCAUCAUGAGGAGGAAGUAGACAUAACUUUGCAAAGGAAGCGUUCAGGGCAGGCUGAAGCCCUGGCUCUUGACUUGCAGGGAGCAUUUUUACAUACUGUACUUUCGCCUGAACUUUUGGAACUUGUGACCAUAUUUAACAUCAACAUCCAGCGUCAACAGUAUAAAAAUAACAGAAAAUCACAGAAAGCAUGAUAUGUCCCCUUUAAAUAUGGCAUGAUCUUGGAUUUACUGCAGUUACGCUAUCUUGCAAUCAUGAGUGAGUUUGUAUGACCUGUUGUUCCUCCCCACAUCCAAACACACCUGAAACUAAGUUCACAAGUGCAUUGUAUUAUAUAAUUGUGAGAGUCACCACCAGAACUGUGUUAUUGCCCCCUACUGGCUUGGAGAGCAAAUGCUUAAAAGCAAAAAUACUAAUUUCAUCAACAACACACAUUAGCAAACUAACAAACUGGAUAUUUAAUUUUCCUUUGUGGUAUUUUCUUUUGUUUUUCCUGCUGCAAGAAACCCGUAUAAGUCACCUCUCAUCAUUUAUUAUAAAUUACCAAAAAGAUUAAACAUCAGAGAGACGAUAGAAGAGCGUAGAUGAAGACGGCGCCCAAGCAGACAGUAAAUGAGACAUACAAGGCGUGUUAAUGGAUGCCGUCAGGGCAGUUACUAUUAUGCCUCCACCUGGAUCUGUGUUACUCAACAUGUGAGCACGUCUGAGUCGCAAAAUCAAUCUCAAUUAUGGCUGCCGGUGUGCUCAUUCAGUGUUUAUACCUGUGUGUGUGUGUGUCUGUGUCACUGUUCGGGUUUGCAGAGUUAUUAGCAUCAUAUGAGUGCACAUGUUUAUGUGUGUGUGACACCUCAUGCUAAUUAUAUUAGCGUCAAUUAGCUAGAGAUGAUAAAUACCUUGCUACAUGUAUCAAUUAUGUCGAACCCCAGUGGGUCAUACGUGAUUAGUGAGACAGAGAGAGUGUUAAUAGUAGCAGUAAUGCUUGCAUAUCUUUAGAUUAUUUCUUAUUUGUUUUGACACUACGUACAGUGUGUAUGUGCCAAGUCGGUUGACAUUAUUUAUCAGGCUGACGCUGUUCUCUGCGUGGAGGAUUUUAUUUUCUUCACUGUGGGACGCUUCUUUGUUCUUAUAUUCCCACAGAGAGCGAGUGAUACCGAGGGAAGUUUUGCUGAGUAAGGACAACGUAACUCUGUGAUGCUCCGCUUCACAUUCACACUGUCGGACUGAUUCACAUCUGUCAGCUGCUGUUUAGGUGUGAAGACCACUUGACUGACCUGCACGGAGCCCUGACCUCGAUCCCAUCCAACACCUUUGGGAUGAACUGGAAUGCCUCAUUACUGCUUUUGUGCCUGAGUGGGAGUAAAUCAAUGCAGCCAUGACUCCCAAAUCUUGUGAAAAACCUUCGCAGAGGAGUGGAAGCUGCUGUACCAGCAAGUUAAUGCACAUGGUUUUGGAAUAAGAUGUUUGACUAUCAAAUAUGGAUAUAAUAUUCAGGUGUUUUUGUGGUUGUCCACAUACUUUCGGCCAUGUGUUGUAAUCUUUACCUGCCCUAUUUUGAUUUGAUACAAAAAGAAAAUGAGAAUACAGGUCUUAUAGAGGUUGUCAUGGGUUUUUCUGGGAUAGCACAGGGAAAACAGCAAGACAUUUAACUUUGUGUGUGCGUGUUUAUCAAAUCAAAAACAAGGCCAAAAGAUGAAUACAAUUCUGUUUAGUUGCUAGAGGCAAUGAUUUUCUUUUACAUGAUGAACAAAAUGUCCCCAAACUGUGCUGAAACGCUUGAAUGUUUAAAUCUAGUGUGAAUAAUUGUGCAGCAAGAGAUUAAUUAUUUCAAAUCCUGUCAUGUGUUUGUGACCAUCAAUGGAAAUUAAAAAAGGAACAAAAAGAAGAAUAAGAACUAACAAUAUUGGACAGGAUCCUCACUCACUGACAGUAUGGUUUUGAUUCCUCUCUUCUGGUUUGUACAGUCGAAAUCG